GUGGAUGAGUGGCGAACGGGUGAGUAACACGUGGGUAAUCUGCCCUGCACUCUGGGAUAAGCCUUGGAAACGGGGUCUAAUACCGGAUAGGACACGUGGCCGCAUGGUCUGCGUGUGGAAAGUUCCGGCGGUGCAGGUUGAGCCCGCGGCCUAUCAGCUUGUUGGUGGGGUGAUGGCCUACCAAGGCGACGACGGGUAGCCGGCCUGAGAGGGUGACCGGCCACACUGGGACUGAGACACGGCCCAGACUCCUACGGGAGGCAGCAGUGGGGAAUCUUGCGCAAUGGGCGAAAGCCUGACGCAGCAACGCCGCGUGGGGGAUGACGGCCUUCGGGUUGUAAACCUCUUUCGACAUCGACGAAGCCUUCGGGUGACGGUAGGUGUAGAAGAAGCACCGGCUAACUACGUGCCAGCAGCCGCGGUAAUACGUAGGGUGCGAGCGUUGUCCGGAAUUAUUGGGCGUAAAGAGCUCGUAGGCGGUUUGUCGCGUCGGCCGUGAAAACCUGCCGCUUAACGGUGGGCGUGCGGUCGAUACGGGCAGACUUGAGUUCGGUAGGGGAGACUGGAAUUCCUGGUGUAGCGGUGAAAUGCGCAGAUAUCAGGAGGAACACCGGUGGCGAAGGCGGGUCUCUGGGCCGAUACUGACGCUGAGGAGCGAAAGCGUGGGGAGCGAACAGGAUUAGAUACCCUGGUAGUCCACGCCGUAAACGGUGGGCGCUAGGUGUGGGGACUGUUUCCACGGUUCCUGUGCCGUAGCUAACGCAUUAAGCGCCCCGCCUGGGGAGUACGGCCGCAAGGCUAAAACUCAA
rnacentral:rRNA from 1 species